AGAGUUUGAUCAUGGCUCAGAUUGAACGCUGGCGGCAGGCCUAACACAUGCAAGUCGAGCGGUAACACAGAGAGCUUGCUCUCGGGUGACGAGCGGCGGACGGGUGAGUAAUGUCUGGGAAACUGCCUGAUGGAGGGGGAUAACUACUGGAAACGGUAGCUAAUACCGCAUAACGUCGCAAGACCAAAGUGGGGGACCUUCGGGCCUCAUGCCAUCAGAUGUGCCCAGAUGGGAUUAGCUAGUAGGUGGGGUAAUGGCUCACCUAGGCGACGAUCCCUAGCUGGUCUGAGAGGAUGACCAGCCACACUGGAACUGAGACACGGUCCAGACUCCUACGGGAGGCAGCAGUGGGGAAUAUUGCACAAUGGGCGCAAGCCUGAUGCAGCCAUGCCGCGUGUAUGAAGAAGGCCUUCGGGUUGUAAAGUACUUUCAGCGAGGAGGAAGGCGUUAAGGUUAAUAACCUUAGCGAUUGACGUUACUCGCAGAAGAAGCACCGGCUAACUCCGUGCCAGCAGCCGCGGUAAUACGGAGGGUGCAAGCGUUAAUCGGAAUUACUGGGCGUAAAGCGCACGCAGGCGGUCUGUCAAGUCGGAUGUGAAAUCCCCGGGCUCAAUCUGGGAACUGCAUUCGAAACUGGCAGGCUAGAGUCUUGUAGAGGGGGGUAGAAUUCCAGGUGUAGCGGUGAAAUGCGUAGAGAUCUGGAGGAAUACCGGUGGCGAAGGCGGCCCCCUGGACAAAGACUGACGCUCAGGUGCGAAAGCGUGGGGAGCAAACAGGAUUAGAUACCCUGGUAGUCCACGCUGUAAACGAUGUCGAUUUGGAGGUUGUGCCCUUGAGGCGUGGCUUCCGGAGCUAACGCGUUAAAUCGACCGCCUGGGGAGUACGGCCGCAAGGUUAAAACUCAAAUGAAUUGACGGGGGCCCGCACAAGCGGUGGAGCAUGUGGUUUAAUUCGAUGCAACGCGAAGAACCUUACCUGGUCUUGACAUCCACAGAACUU
rnacentral:rRNA from 1 species